rnacentral:rRNA from 1 species
GACGAACCGUGCGAACGUUGUUCGGAUUCACUGGGCUUAAAGGGCGCGUAGGCGGGCGACCAAGUCCGGGGUGAAAUCUUUCGGCUCAACCGGAAGAGUGCCUUGGAUACUGGUCGCCUCGAGGGAGGUAGGGGCAUGCGGAACUUCCGGUGGAGCGGUGAAAUGCGUAGAUAUCGGGAGGAACACCUGUGGCGAAAGCGGCGCACUGGACCACAACUGACGCUGAGGCGCGAAAGCUAGGGGAGCAAACAGG